GCCGGGUGUGGUGGUGCGCACCUGUAAUCCCAGCUACUCAGGAGGCUGAGGCAGGAGAAUCGCUUUAACCAGGGAGGUGGAGGUUGCAGUGAGCUGAGAUCAUGCCACUGCACUCCAGCCUGGGCAACAGAGCGAGACUCUGUCUCAA
rnacentral:sRNA from 1 species